UGUCGACAUUAUAGUUGCGCAGGCACUUUGGUGACUCUAGAGAACCUCGGGCCAAUUGCACGUCCCUGUGACGGCGACUUUGCAUUUGCAUUUGCAUGUCUGCCCUAUUAAGUUUCAAUGACACUUUCUGCUCCUACCAUGGUGGCCACGGGUAACAGGGAAUCAGGGUUCAAUUCCAGAGAAGAAGCCUGAGAAACGGCUACCAAAUCCAAGGAAGGCAGCAGGCGCGCAAAUUACCCACUCCCGACGCGGGGAGGUAGUGACGACA